rnacentral:rRNA from 1 species
GACGAACGCUGGCGGCGUGCUUAACACAUGCAAGUCGAGCGAAUGGAUUAAGAGCUUGCUCUUAUGAAGUUAGCGGCGGACGGGUGAGUAACACGUGGGUAACCUGCCCACAAGACUGGGAUAACUCCGGGAAACCGGGGCUAAUACCGGAUAACAUUUUGAACCGCAUGGUUCGAAAUUGAAAGGCGGCUUCGGCUGUCACUUAUGGAUGGACCCGCGUCGCAUUAACUAGUUGGUGAGGUAACGGCUCACCAAGGCAACGAUGCGUAGCCGACCUGAGAGGGUGAUCGGCCACACUGGGACUGAGACACGGCCCAGACUCCUACGGGAGGCAGCAGUAGGGAAUCCUCCGCAAUGGACGAAAGUCUGACGGAGCAACGCCGCGUGAGUGAUGAAGGCUUUCGGGUCGUAAAACUCUGUUGUUAGGGAAGAACAAGUGCUAGUUGAAUAAGCUGGCACCUUGACGGUACCUAACCAGAAAGCCACGGCUAACUACGUGCCAGCCGCCGCCGUAA